UACAGAGGGUGCGAGCGUUGUUCGGAAUUAUUGGGCGUAAAGGGCGCGUAGGCGGUAUUGUAAGUCACCUGUGAAAUCUCCGGGCUCAACUCGGAGCCUGCAGGCGAAACUGCCGUGCUUGAGUGUGGGAGAGGUGCGUGGAAUUCCCGGCGUAGCGGUGAAAUGCGUAGAUAUCGGGAGGAACACCGGUGGCGAAAGCGGCGCACUGGACCACAUCUGACGCUGAGGCGCGAAAGCUAGGGGAGCAAACAGG
rnacentral:rRNA from 1 species